rnacentral:rRNA from 1 species
AUUGAACGCUGGCGGCAGGCCUAACACAUGCAAGUCGAACGGUAACAGGAAGAAGCUUGCUUCUUUGCUGACGAGUGGCGGACGGGUGAGUAAUGUCUGGGAAACUGCCUGAUGGAGGGGGAUAACUACUGGAAACGGUAGCUAAUACCGCAUAACGUCGCAAGACCAAAGAGGGGGACCUUCGGGCCUCUUGCCAUCGGAUGUGCCCAGAUGGGAUUAGCUAGUAGGUGGGGUAACGGCUCACCUAGGCGACGAUCCCUAGCUGGUCUGAGAGGAUGACCAGCCACACUGGAACUGAGACACGGUCCAGACUCCUACGGGAGGCAGCAGUGGGGAAUAUUGCACAAUGGGCGCAAGCCUGAUGCUGCCAUGCCGCGUGUAUGAAGAAGGCCUUCGGGUUGUAAAGUACUUUCAGCGGGGAGGAAGGGAGUAAAGUUAAUACCUUUGCUCAUUGACGUUACCCGCAGAAGAAGCACCGGCUAACUCCGUG